rnacentral:rRNA from 1 species
CCUACGGGAGGCUGCAGUGAGGAAUAUUGGUCAAUGGGCGGAAGCCUGAACCAGCCAAGUAGCGUGCAGGAUGACGGCUCUACGGGUUGUAAACUGCUUUUAUACGGGAAUAACGCGCCUUACGUGUAGGGCUUUGCAUGUACCGUAUGAAUAAGGAUCGGCUAAUUCCGUGCCAGCAGCCGCGGUAAUACGGAGGGUCCGGGCGUUAUCCGGAUUUAUUGGGUUUAAAGGGAGCGUAGGCGGCCUUUUAAGCGUGCUGUGAAAUGUCCGGGCUCAACCCGGGCCUUGCAGCGGGAACUGGGGGGCUUGAGUGCGCGGAAGGCAGGCGGAAUUCGUGGUGUAGCGGUGAAAUGCUUAGAUAUGACGAAGAACCCCGAUUGCGAAGGCAGCUUGCUGCAGCAGAACUGACGCUGAUGCUCGAAAGCGUGGGUAUCGAACAGGAUUAGAUACCCGGGUAGUC